UAUAUAUGAUUCAUCCCAUUAGUGAGCUAAUGUUUCUAAGCAUUGCUAAGCAAUUAUAUAUAUAACAUUUAGCUGAACCAAACCAAUACAUAAGGUUCAAGCUAAUCAAUUUAUUACCCAAGGUAUCAAGGAAUAGGGCAUUCAAUGCAAAUUGGCCAUAACAAAGGAAUAGAUUCACACCACCCGGUGACAUUCGAAAAUAAAUGCACAGUUGAAAUAAAUAGAGAAUUUAAAUAUAGGAUCAACAUGCUCAAAGGAUUGUGUUUAGGAUCUGUGUGACUUGCCUUGCAAUAAUCAGUCUUCAAUUAAUCUUCUGAACACUCCUGACGCACUCACGAACCUUCGCAACGACGGAAACGACAAGCUAACACGCAAAACGAAGAAAAAGACUAAUAAAAACCAAAUAAACAGUACAUAUAAAGUAAACAAACAUGUAGAUCAUGAUUUUAGAUGAAUUUAGCAACUUGAACCACUCAAAACCGAGUUACGAUGAUUUAGUUAUGAAUUUCCGAAGAUUUAAUCUAUUAGAAAAAACAGGAAAAAGAAAAACGAUGAUGACGUCAUGAUGACCUCAUCAAUGGCCGGACCAAGAUGGCGACCUCGCCGGAGAUUGGAUGGUCGGCUGCGACUUUGGAGGACAUGAACACGUAGAGGACGACGAGACGAACCCAACGGUACUCACCCUCGAACCAAACGACGAACGACGACGGCCGGCGACGAGGUCUAUUGGCGGCGCGGCUUCGGUCGGCGGUGGCGACGGGACUCCGGUGACCGGCGACAGCGGGGAGAGAGCGGCCGGGCUUCUCC
rnacentral:lncRNA from 1 species